rnacentral:misc_RNA from 1 species
CUGGAAGGUAACUUAUUUGUCAUUUAUAUGAUACAUAAAUUGGAAUUAAAGAACACAGAAAAGGCAAGGUACUGGGCCAAAUUUUCCUUGUCAAGCAUUCAAGUAACAUGAUCAGAAAUAGAUAAACGGACUCAAUACAGGCAUGUAUCCAUUAUCAGCUUCUGGUGGCACUACUUGAUGCAAAAUUGCAAACUGAAAACGACAAAUGCUACACAUAUAAAAUAUAUCUUCUGUAAGGACCACCAAGGUCUUUUCUACACAACAUUUGUUCAAGUAAUAAGCAGAAUGGAAAAUGAAACCCUGCAAAUAAGUGGUUC